GAAAAUACACUCCAAACUCUGACACAAACCCAUCACCGCCGGCCACCGUCAGCCACCGCAACAAUGUCCAUCGCCGCCGGCCUUUUUACCCUAACCCCUUCCCCCUCCUUCUCUCCUCUCCCUAAAACCACCCCAAAAUUCUCCAACACUUUCCCUCGCCACCUCCCCCUCGACCUUUCCUCCUCCUCCUCCUCCUACACCACCAGUCUCCGCCACCGCCAACCUCCCCCAUUU
rnacentral:lncRNA from 1 species